AUGUGGUGACGGUCAAGACUGCAUUUCUCGCUAUUCAUUGCAUCUUGACCCAUCACUGCAAGC
rnacentral:pre_miRNA from 1 species